GAUGAACGCUGGCGGCGCGCCUAACACAUGCAAGUCGAACGAUUAAAGCACCUUCGGGUGUGUAUAAAGUGGCGAACGGCUGAGUAACACGUGGGCAACCUGCCCCUUUCAUCGGGAUAGCCACGGGAAACCGUGGAUAAUACCGAAUACUUCGAGACUUCCGCAUGGAAGACUCGAGAAAGCUCCGGCGGAGAGGGAUGGGCCCGCGGCCUGUUAGCUUGUUGGUGGGGUAACGGCCUACCAAGGCAAUGAUGGGUAGCUGGGUUGAGAGACCGACCAGCCAGAUUGGGACUGAGACACGGCCCAGACUCCUACGGGAGGCAGCAGUGGGGAAUCUUGCACAAUGGGCGAAAGCCUGAUGCAGCGACGCCGCGUGCGGGAUGAAGGCCUUCGGGUUGUAAACCGCUUUCAGCAGGGACGAGGCGAAAGUGACGGUACCUGCAGAAGAAGCCCCGGCUAACUACGUG
rnacentral:rRNA from 1 species